UUACGAAAAAAUACAAAGCUGGAUACCUCAUUCCAUUCUAUUUGGGACAAACAGACCUGCAGAAAGGAACAGGAGAAAAUCACGGGAAUGUUUGAAGAGUUUAAGUCAGAAGCGUAAGCUUUCCACCGGGGAUACUCCUGGAUGGUCUAAACUUAAGGGACAGUCCAGGUUUGUCCUCUCAGGUGUCCAAACUGUCCAAAGAGAACGCAUUUAUUUUUGACGCAGUUGCUAACAAAGAAAGGCAGUACCAACUUCGUUGUGAAGAAUCAAGCAUGGUACAUCCCUGGGGCAUGCCUCAGGUGGGAAUUCCAUCUGCAACAAGGUGCUAAAGGUGAACCCAUCAGAGUGUGUUACUAACCACUUCAAGACCAAACAGCCUCACAUUGAUUCGACGAUAAAGAAGGCGUUGAAAAAUGACAGCAGUUUUGAUGUGUCAUCCAGUUUGCUCUUCGACUCUCAACCCAACGUUAGUUAGAACGCAAACUCAGCAUUUAGCGUUAUCAGCGAGGCUCGAAGGUCAUCUCUGCUUCUUAAGCUUCAGAUAAAAUUAUAAGCCAACAAGACGAACAUCGUUGAAUCAUUUUGCACAUAUACUAAAAUUCGCUCAAAAAAUUCAGCACAUCACUUAUGAACAUCUUCUCGCAAGGCGGCUACAUCAGCACUUCCAACAGCUGAGCCUUGGUGAGUUCCACUCCUGUCCCGAUGAGUCGCUCCAGGUGAUACAAUCUGAUCCACAGAUAGAGCAGACGCUGAGUGACUCGUCUGUUAACGUGACUGACCUCCAUAUGUUGCUCUCUAAUAAUGUGAACCUGCCGGAGGAGCAGUGUUGUCCUACAUUCCCUGUUCUGGGUGGUGACAUUGGCGUCAAGACUCACACAAUCUCUGGCUAUGGCCCUGUCGCAGCAGCAGCAGCAACAAAAACAGGAAAUUUUCCGGUUCCUACAGGACCCCAUACAAUCACACAUCUGUACACAUCUGAACAACAACAGGCUCUCUGGCCAGUUGGGCCCCCACAUCCAAAAACAAUUCCUGGGUAUAGGCGUCGAGCUUUUGGGUCAGGAAUUUUGGGCAAAGCUCCUACCCCUAGGGUACAGCCAGUCUAACCAUGGGACUCCGAACUUCCCUGCUCAGGGGCCAAGACUACCUCAUCUACAAGGGACCUUAUCCUCACAAGUUCAGUCCCAGAGAACCAUGUUACCCAACUGCAACACAGGCAAUACAUCUCAACAGAAUGUUCAUCUUGACAAUAUCUAAGCAAAGUUCAAAAUUGAAUUCCGAUCUUGCACCAGGUCGAGUCUUCUACCAAAGUUUAAUGUUUAACUCAGGUCCGUCAGUCUCUUGUGUAACAACCGAAGCUAAAGAUGAAGUGCCACAGAGAGAAAUAGAGGUCACAACAGUAAGACAUGCAGAUAUUGCUGCUUCAGUCUCAAUAGCAACAUCAGCAGCAGCAGAAGCAAAAGCAGCAACAACACCCACAAUUCAACAAUCAACAGUGCCAUUGCUGAGCUCUUUCAAAUGUCGAGGAUCACCCAAAACCACUCGGUGCCAAGCAAUGAAAUUAUCAGCUGCCACUUGACAUGACCACUGUACACACCUGGGAGUCAGGUUUAAGGUCACAUCAGCUUAAAUGUUCACGGCAGUAAGAAAAUGAAAGAUCUUAAAGGGACUUGUUCACAGAUUGUGUGGAAAACCCUGAUUGCAAAGCGUAGAGUCUGCUCCGGAAGCAUUUGCACACAAGGCACAAACAUCAGCUGCAAAAAUCGUCUCGAUAUUCUGUCAUGGCCAUGUUGCAUGACCCUCAGUCUAUGAACAUAGAGAACCUUGGACACCCAUGGAAGAAAGACAACUGGCCAAUCAGAAUUACAGCCUGUUGCAGCAGUUGUUACCAUAUUUUCCUCAGUCAAACCUGAGAAGCUCAGAGAUAUAUACUGUUUAAGAUGUGCUAGACUCUACAUACCUCCUGGUAUGUUCAGCACUUACUCUGACAGGUUUUAUCUUUGAAUUUUGUGACGGAUGGAAAAUAAAUGAGCUUGUUCACAUCGAAAUGGCAGAAUGACAUAUCACAACAAUUGAAGUGGAAAGCCAGAAAGUCAUGUGGACAGCCACGUUUUGUAUGUGACCAGCCAAGUUGUAUUCAAAGGAAAACACAAGUAUAUGUUUUAUGGGAA